CCUGUAACCACUCAUAACACAAAGGCACAGCUGUUUACUCUUGGUUCUGCCAAUGGAGACAUUAUUCUCUCCCCAGGAAAAAGAGUGCAUGACUGACCUGGAAGAGUACAGAUGCCUUCUUUAUUCUACAGCUUCAAUCUCUCAGAAUGGGGCCAAAGCAGCUGAAGAGAAGAUAUAUAUUGGGGAUGCUGUUUGCAUUUUAACAACAUGUCUGCUUUAUUUGUUAUACUGUAUCCAAUUCAAUUUAAUUGAUUUUUUUUUCUUUAGUUUUGUCUCUAUAAAUCAGUAGAUGGCUUUGUGAAAAAAAAAUGGUAAUGGGCUUGGCAGAGUGCCUAAUUUAUCUCUUUUGUUUUCGUGUCUGCAAGCUCGUAUGUGCAUGUGUGUUUAUUUUUAAAAAGGUAAAAAGAAGGCCGGAGAAAAGCAGAAGUCCACAUUGUUUUGUCAGAAUGCCUCUCUGUAGCUCAACCUGCUGUUCAUUUAACAUACGUAUAGCUGUAACUGUGAAUGGUAUCUGAAUGAGAUGUGGAAUGAACUCUUCGGUUAUUG